rnacentral:rRNA from 1 species
UACAGAGGUGGCAAGCGUUGUUCGGAAUUACUGGGCGUAAAGGGCGCGUAGGCGGCCUUCUAAGUCAGACGUGAAAUCCCCCGGCUUAACCUGGGAACUGCGUCUGAUACUGGAAGGCUUGAGUGCGGGAGAGGGAUGUGGAAUUCCAGGUGUAGCGGUGAAAUGCGUAGAUAUCUGGAGGAACACCGGUGGCGAAGGCGGCAUCCUGGACCGACACUGACGCUGAGGCGCGAAAGCUAGGGUAGCAAACGGGG